UGUGAUAGAUCAACUGUAGAUC
rnacentral:misc_RNA from 1 species